rnacentral:tRNA from 1 species
GGUUCGAUCCCGUCAUCACCCACCACUUCUCGAGUUGGUAGAGCAGUUGACUUUUAAUCAAUUGGUCGCAGGUUCGAAUCCUGCACGACCCACCA